ACUUAGUGGCGGACGGGUGAGUAACGCGUGGGUAACCUGGCCCAUACAGGGGGAUAACACUUAGAAAUAGGUGCUAAUACCGCAUAACAACAGAAAGCGCAUGCUUUUUGUUUGAAAACCAAGGUGGUAUGGGAUGGACCCGCGUCUGAUUAGCUGGUUGGUGGGGUAAAGGCUCACCAAGGCGACGAUCAGUAGCCGGCCUGAGAGGGCGACCGGCCACAUUGGGACUGAGACACGGCCCAGACUCCUACGGAAGGCAGCAG
rnacentral:rRNA from 1 species